rnacentral:rRNA from 1 species
CAGCAGCCGCGGGAAAACGUAGGUGGCAAGCGUUGUCCGGAAUUAUUGGGCGUAAAGGGCUCGCAGGCGGUUUCUUAAGUCUGAUGUGAAAGCCCACGGCUCAACCGGGGAGGGUCAUUGGAAACUGGGAAACUUGAGUGCAGGAGAGAAAAGUGGAAUUCCUAGUGUAGCGGUGAAAUGCGUAGAGAUUAGGAGGAACACCAGUGGCGAAGGCGGCUUUUUGGUCUGUAACUGGCACUGAGGCGCGAAAGCGUGGGGAGCAAACAGGAUUAGAUACCCGCGUAGUCCCUGUCUCUUUACC